rnacentral:rRNA from 1 species
GACGAACGCUGGCGGCGUGCUUAACACAUGCAAGUCGAACGGAAAGGCCCUGCUUUUGUGGGGUGCUCGAGUGGCGAACGGGUGAGUAACACGUGAGUAACCUGCCCUUGACUUUGGGAUAACUUCAGGUAACUGGGGCUAAUACCGGAUAGGAGCUCCUGCUGCAUGGUGGGGGUUGGAAAGUUUCGGCGGUUGGGGAUGGACUCGCGGCUUAUCAGCUUGUUGGUGGGGUAGUGGCUUACCAAGGCUUUGACGGGUAGCCGGCCUGAGAGGGUGACCGGCCACACUGGGACUGCAAUAGCGCCCUAACUCCUACGGGAGGCAGCAGUGGGGAAUAGUGCACAAUGGGCGGAAGCCUGAUGCAGCAACGCCGCGUGCGGGAUGACGGCCUUCGGGUUGUAGACCGCUUUCGCCUGUGACGAAGCGUGAGUGACGGUAAUGGGUAAAGAAGCACCGGCUAACUACGUG